GACGAACGCUGGCGGCGUGCCUAACACAUGCAAGUCAACUUGACUGAAGGAGCAAUCUGACAGUAGAGUGGCGCAAGGGUGCGUAACGCGUAAGUAACUUGCCCAAGGUAAGGAAUAACGUCGAGAAAUCGGCGCUAAUACCUCAUAAUGCAGCGGAUCCGCAUGGAUAUGUUGUUAAAGGUUUACCGCCUUGGGAUAGGCUUGCGUCUGAUUAGCUAGUUGGUGUGGUAACAGCACACCAAGGCUACGAUCAGUAACUGGUCUGAGAGGAUGAUCAGUCACACUGGAACUGAGACACGGUCCAGACU
rnacentral:rRNA from 1 species